UUACUUACCUGGCUGGAGUUAGCUAUCGAUCAUGAAGGGUAGCGGCUUAGGGUGGAGCAGGUCAUUGCACAAAAGAUGUCUGUAAUACCUUAUUGUUCCCCGUGCGGGGAACCGAAACAGCACAAUUUCUGCUAGGGGAGACGUGCACUUAGUGCUGUCUCCGC
rnacentral:snRNA from 1 species